rnacentral:rRNA from 1 species
GUGAGGAAUAUUGCGCAAUGGAGGCAACUCUGACGCAGCCAUGCCGCGUGCAGGAAGAAGGCGCUACGCGUUGUAAACUGCUUUUAACCGGGAAGAAACCCCAGGACGUGUCCUGGGUUGACGGUACCGGAGGAAUAAGCACCGGCUAACUUCGUGCCAGCAGCCGCGGUAAUACGAAGGGUGCAAGCGUUAUCCGGAUUCAUUGGGUUUAAAGGGUGCGUAGGCGGAGCGUUAAGUCAGUGGUGAAAUCCUGCAGCUUAACUGUAGACUUGCCAUUGAUACUGGCGCUCUUGAGGACGCUUGAAGUGGGCGGAAUGUGCCGUGUAGCGGUGAAAUGCUUAGAUAUGGCACAGAACACCAAUUGCGAAGGCAGCUCACUAAGGCGAUACUGACGCUGAGGCACGAAAGCGUGGGGAUCGAACAGGAUUAGAAACCCCUGUAGUCC